UCCUACGGGAGGCAGCAGUGGGGAAUAUUGCACAAUGGGCGAAAGCCUGAUGCAGCGACGCCGCGUGAGGGAUGACGGCCUUCGGGUUGUAAACCUCUUUCAGCAGGGAAGAAGCGAAAGUGACGGUACCUGCAGAAGAAGCUCCGGCUAACUACGUGCCAGCAGCCUCGGUAAUAUGUAGGGCGCAACCGUUGUCCGGAAUUAUUGGGCGUAAAGAGCUCGUAGGCGGCUUGUUUCGUCGGAUGUGAAAGCCCGGGGCUUAACCCCGGGUCUGCAUUCGAUACGGGCAGGGUAGAGUUCGGUAGGGGAGAUCGGAAUUCCUGGUGUAGCGGUGAAAUGCGCAGAUAUCAGGAGGAACACCGGUGGCGAAGGCGGAUCUCUGGGCCGAUACUGACGCUGAGGAGCGAAAGCGUGGGGAGCGAACAGGAUUAGAUACCCUGGUAGUCCACGCCGUAAACGUUGGGAACUAGGUGUG
rnacentral:rRNA from 1 species